GUUGCGUUUUGCCAAAAGGAGGAGAAAAAAAAAAUUCAUUUUGGAGAUUGAACUCUCCUCUCACGCGAUCUGAAACCUAGCCUCCGCCGAUCGCGUGAGAAGAGAGUGCAUAUAGCCUAGCUAUUUUGAGUUCUUCUGGAAGGAGUUAAAUCAAACCAGCAAAGAUCAGAGCGUGUUCUGGGUUGAAAAAGAAGCUAUGUUGAUGAAUCAAGAGAAAAUCCAGAGGCUUCAAGGAGAGAAUCGGUAACGUGUUUAUUGUUGCUCGGUGAGAAUGGCGUCAUGAAUCUCGACACAACAGGUCUUGUUGUUCUCGUGUCUGGAACCACUUAUAGACAUUGCAGAACAUCAAGCUUGUGCUUAACGAUGAUGGACUGAACUUCAAGCUUCUCCAUCCUCCACGGAAACUACUCUUGGAUGAAAAGAUGAGAAAAAGACAAGUUGUUGGUGCCGAGAAGUUGAUACAGCUCUUGCAUCCGUCAGAAGACAGAAUGGGAAACUCCAUUCAUUGCACUGGUUUGGAAUCUCAUCGAUAUACACCAAGCAUUUUAGCAGCUUCGACUAUUCUUAGUUAUGUCAAGCACUAAAAACUCUCGUGAAUCAUAUUCCUUGCUUGUAACACUUUAGUUUUUUUGGUCAUACAUUGUCAUCACUCAUAAGGACCCCCUUGUUUGAUACUAGAGUACACUGAAAUUAUUUUCUCAGCUCUAUUAUUCUUGCUAUAUGUUGGAAUUUUUAUCAUAAGAGUACUAACAUAUGAUAAAUUACAGUAAAGGGGAUUAUGAUCCUUGUCGAUUAGAUUGUCUCAGCUUAUUUGGUUUGAAGUCUAAGACAAACAGACAACAAGGGCUCUGGAAAGCAUAAAAGGAUAAACAAAAAUUAUAUAACUCUGUUUCGGUUUGCUUUGUAACUUGAUUUAUAACUUAUAACUUUGUUUUAUUUUAGAUUUGGAUUUGGAUU